GCGAUAACGAAGGUAAGAAAUACGAAAAAAGCGAAACAAUUUCUUGCUUGCGGUCCGCAGGCACGUCUGCACUCGUUGAGCAAUGAAUCGUGCAUGCUAGGAAAAAUGACCACACGCAGUGUUGGCAGACCUAGUAUCUAGUAUAGUAUAGUAAAAAAAAAAAAAUAGCCAAAUGUCUCGUCAUCUAAUUAGUGACGCGCAUGAAUGGAUUAACGAGAUUCCUACUGUCCCUAUCUACUAUCUAGCGAAACCAGAGCCAAGGGAACGGGCUUGGAAUAAUUAGCGGGGAAAGAAGACCCUUUUUAGCUUGACUCUAAUCUGGCAGUGUAAGGAGACAUAAGAGGUGUAGAAUAAGUGGGAGAUAUUAGACCUCGGUUUGGUAUCGUCAAUGAAAUACCACUACUCUUAUUGUUUCCGUACUUACUUGAUUACUUACUUGAUGAUUAGAACGUGUAUCAUUUCCUAGCCAUUAUACGGAUAUAUUUAUUAUAUCUUAUGGUAUUGGGUUUUGAUGCAAGCUUCUUGAUCAAAGUAUCACGAUUUUGUUAUAUAAUCGCAAAUACAUUCUUUAAUAAAGCGAUGCAUUUAUGUAUUUUUGAUUUGAAAAUUUGGUAUAACUCCAAUUACUCAGGUAUGAUCCAAUUCAAGGACAUUGCCAGGUAGGGAGUUUGACUGGGGCGGUAAAUCUCUCAAAUAAUAACGGAGGUGUCCCAAGGCCAGCUCAGUGCGGACAGAAACCACACAUAGAGCAAAAGGGCAAAUGCUGACUUGAUCUCGGUGUUCAGUACACACAGGGACAGCAAAAGCUCGACCUAUCGAUCCUUUUGGUUUACAGAGUUUUUAACAAGAGGUAUCAGAAAAGUUACCAUAGGGAUAACUGGCUUGUGGCGGCCAAGAGUUCAUAGCGACGUCGCUUUUUGAUCCUUCGAUGUCGGCUCUUCCUAUCAUUGUGUAUCAAAAUUCACCAAGCGUUGGAUUGUUCACCCAUGCAAGGGAACGUGAGCUGGGCUUAGUCCGUCGUGAGACAGGUUAGUUUUACCCUAAUGACAAAACGUUGUUGCGACAGCAUUCCUGCGUAGUACGAGAGGAACCGCAGGUACGGACCAAUGGCACAAUACUUGUUCGAGCGAACAGUGGUAAGACGCUACGUCCGUUGGAUUAUGCCUGAACGCCUCUAAGGUCGUAUCCGUGCUGGACUGCAAUGUGAUAAAUUAGGGGCAAUUUGCAUUGUAUGGCUUCUAAACCAUUUAAAGUUUAUAAUUUAUUUUAUAAACGACAAUGGAUGUGAUGCCAAUGUAAUUUGUAACAUAGUAAAUUAGGAGGAUCUUCGAUCACCUGAUGCCGCGUUAGUUACAUAUAAAAGCAUUAUUUAAUACAAUGACAAAGCCUAGAAUCAAUUGUAAACGACUUUUGUAACAGGCAAGGUGUUGUAAGUGGUUGAGCAGCUGCCAUACUGCGAUCCACUGAAGCUUAUCCUUUGCUUGAUGAUACGA
rnacentral:ncRNA from 1 species